CAUUGCAGAGCAUUUUGGGAAGGGUUAAAGGUGUGAGUGGGGAGUGGAGGAUUUUUUUUGCAGGCUGCAAGAGGCCAAAGGGGGAAGGAG